CACGUAGGCACCAAGCGUUGUCCGGAUUUAUUGGGCGUAAAGAGCUCGUAGGCGGUUCGGUAAGUCGGAUGUGAAAACUUUGGGCUCAACCCAAAGCGUGCACUCGAUACUGCCAUGACUAGAGUUCGGUAGGGGAGUGGGGAAUUCCUAGUGUAGCGGUGAAAUGCGUAGAUAUCGGAAGAACAUCAGUGGCGAAAGCGGCUUCCUGGACCAGCACCGACGUCAGGCACGAAAGCGUGGGGGAGCAAACAGG
rnacentral:rRNA from 1 species